UGGGGAAUAUUGGACAAUGGGCGCAAGCCUGAUCCAGCAAUGCCGCGUGUGUGAAGAAGGCCUUCGGGUUGUAAAGCACUUUUAUCAGGAGCGAAACGCUGUCGGCUAAUACCCGGCGGAACUGACGGUACCUGAGGAAUAAGCACCGGCUAACUUCGUGCCAGCAGCCGCGGUAAUACGAAGGGUGCAAGCGUUAAUCGGAAUUACUGGGCGUAAAGCGUGCGUAGGCGGUUUCUUAAGUCUGCUGUGAAAUCCCCGGGCUCAACCUGGGAAUGGCAGUGGAUACUGGGAGGCUAGAGUGUGUCAGAGGGUGGUGGAAUUCCCGGUGUAGCGGUGAAAUGCGUAGAGAUCGGGAGGAACAUCAGUGGCGAAGGCGGCCACCUGGGACAACACUGACGCUGAGGCACGAAAGCGUGGGGAGCAAACAGGAUUAGAUACCCUGGUAGUCCACGCCCUAAAGCGAUGCGAACUGGAUGUUGGUCUCAACUCGGAGAUCAGUGUCGAAGCUAACGCGUUAAG
rnacentral:rRNA from 1 species